rnacentral:rRNA from 1 species
CCGUGUCCGCGUGAGUGAAGAAGGCCUUCGGGUUGUAAAGCUCUUUCGGCAGGAACGAAACGGUGAGCUCUAACAUAGCUCGCUAAUGACGGUACCUGAAGAAGAAGCACCGGCUAACUACGUGCCAGCAGCCGCGGUAAUACGUAGGGUGCGAGCGUUAAUCGGAAUUACUGGGCGUAAAGCGUGCGCAGGCGGUUGUGUAAGACAGGUGUGAAAUCCCCGGGCUUAACCUGGGAACUGCGCUUGUGACUGCACGGCUAGAGUAUGGCAGAGGGGGGUGGAAUUCCACGUGUAGCAGUGAAAUGCGUAGAGAUGUGGAGGAACACCGAUGGCGAAGGCAGCCCCCUGGGCCAAUACUGACGCUCAUGCACGAAAGCGUGGGGAGCAAACAGGAUUAGAUACCCUGGUAGUCCACGCCCUAAACGAUGUCGACUAGGUGUUCGGUGAGGAGACUCAUUGAGUACCGCAGCUAACGCGUGAAGUCGACCGCCUGGGGAGUACGGUCGCAAGAUUAAAACUCAAAUGAAUUGACGGA